rnacentral:misc_RNA from 1 species
UCUGUGGGACGUGCAGCGUCGCGGCGCUCAGCUGUCUUAGCCUCUCUGUCGUUCGUCCGACGACCGAUCGACGGACACACGCACGACGCGACGGCGAGUGCUUGACGGAACGUCGUGCGCGUCUGCUCGGUUCACAGUCGGUUCGAGGCACACGAUGUCAUCGUGUUGGUUCGAAAUCGCAACCGGUGAUCGUAGCGAUCGUGACGACGCGUGAUCGUCGUCGGACGACGUUGGCGUGUCGCGUGAAAUUAAUGUCGUGCUACUCCACGUAGCGUCAGACGAAGGAAGAGGCGGAAUAAGAUACGGGCAGAGGAUCUCCCGCGCCUGACAGUCUCGUUGGCCGCGUGUGUUUCACAAUCUUCAACGUCUAUCCCGUUCCAUUCCUCCGUACCACGGCGUGUUCGCGCCUGAAACUGGACGGGGACUGGAAGUGUUUACGCGGCGGACGUACCGUGACUGCGAUCGAAGGACGAGUACGCACAAUAUUCUGCCACGGGUCUGCUGGUGCUUACCGAGGACGAAGCGCUUGGACAGCCUGUAACGAACGUGUACUUAUCGUCGAACCUUCGAGAGGCGAAAAGUUGAAAGGGAUUCUUCUACUUGCAAGCUGUUGGAAGACAAUCAAAGAAAUAUCUUCGCGGUGAGCCAGCGAAAAGGAGGGAUUGAGCAGAGGUAUACGGGAUUUCUCGAGGCAUAAAAAUUUUGAUUAUGUUCCACCUUUGAGGCGGAACGAAAAAUCGAGUCACGAAGAAGCAUUUACUCGUGAAACUUCUCGCCUCCGGUCAAUGUACAAACUUUUCCCCGGAGCGUGAAUAGACGUAACGUGUACCAACUAAAGGAGAUCUUUUUUCUGCGUUUGAAAGAGGGAUGGCAUGAAACCUCGGCCAACGAUCGACCACGCUUUGUUCCUUUCGUUUUCUUAGAGCAUCUGCGAGAUUCGUUCGGACCCUGCUUCGAUUCCUUCUCGGAACAAAGAAUACAGGCAACCACGAUGGAUGUUCUGUUCGACGUUCGGAGCGAAGGUACUUUGCCGAGGACCGCGCGUGCCAAGAAAUCCGAGAUUUAAAGACCUCUCGCGACUAGAGACGACUCUUUCGUCUUUUAAUACCAUUCUUCGAAUAUCGAACCUACCAUUGACCCUUUUAACUUAGAUGUGUAUAGGAUACGUGUGAUUUGGCGAUUAUUUGUAUCUCAGUGUAUUUGAUUAAUAAUAGGAAGAUAAAUGUGCGCGAUUUAG